AACAAAUAAUGAUUAAAAAACAAAAAAAAAAAAAACGGAAGGUAAAUUUCUAUAACUAAGCAAAGAUAACUGCAACGAUGCGUACUGUUAUUAGCAAUUAUUUUUCGUAGGUGAAGAAGGUAAAUUGGAAAUUUGAAUGCGAGUUUCAACGGCCAAAUCAUCAGCUUGGUUUUGUGCCUCCAUGUCCGGACACAUUGAAAACUUGUCAUCAGCAGGACUGCAUGCCCCUAAGGGUAUCGAUUGAGGCGAUUUAAAGUUUUCAAUACCAACCAAGUCUAGCAUCCAAGAAAAAGCAGCGCCAAAAAAGCCGAAUUCGAAAAGAUCUAAUAUACUGUAAAAUAUGGCUUCUCCAAUUGGCGAGAUAACAUUGAGGCCCUCAGAUAAAAUCCAACAUGCAUAAUAGAGGAACCAAAUGACAUGUAAGUAAACAAUUGACCAUAAAAACCCUAGGCGCGCAGACGUCUCUAAACGGCUAGCAUACUUUUUAUGCAAAACGACUGAGUGUGCCAAUGCAAUAAAAUAGCCUACAAACGAAAAUCCGUAAUAGGCCCAUUUAUAGGGAGAUGAAGUUAAUGCUGCCGCCAGUAAGCAAACAAUCGCAAAAAGCACAUAGCAAACGACAUAUGCAAUUUCUAGUAUAGAUACGCCUACCGUCCAAUGUAGCAUUACGAUGAUUAAUGGGAAAUUGAUUAACCAUUGAAUAUAGCGAACAUAGUAAACCAUUCGUACACUAACUUCUCGAAAAAAAGAAGCAGAAGAAAACACAUUUUUCAAUCCAUAAUUGCAGGCCAUGGUAAAGUAGGCCAAGCAAGAAACCAAACUGAGGAUGGAAAAGAAACGGUGGUAAGUCUGCUUUUGAGGCAAACUGAAUAUCGAUACUAAAGGAAAGACAAUUGCGCACAGCAGGAACACUGCAAAAACAGCCCAAUAGUAGUUUGAGCUUAUCUUUUGCAAAGCGACUUCCGGAAGCUCUUUCAGUACCAUUCCGGAGGAAGAUAAUUUCGCAUUCAUGAUGCGUAAACAGGAUAGAGGCUGGAUUAAAAGAUAUAGAAACAACUCUUAUAUUCUUAAAGGUAGCGAUACUAGUUGAGUUGAAAAGUCAAAACUUUGUAAUAAUGGGUAGCUGAGACACGGUGAAGGUGGCUCUG